GUCAAAAUCUUUAUAGAUAAUUUUUUUUUCACAGAUCAUUGACCCAAUAAACUGGAGUAAUUACAUUCAUUGGAGUCUAUUAGAUGCCAGACAUGUGUGGUAAUGACUCAAUUCAGCUCUCAAAGUGAAGGCACAAAUGGUCAGUCGACUUGUAAAGAUCAAUUAUAUGGUGGGCUGAAGCAAACAUGUCAAGUUGUGAUGGAAGGAAGGGAGCAAUUUGUUUUAAGAAAACUGAAGAGGUGAUUUAUGUCCAUUCUAGACCAGUGUGGUGAAUUCGGUCCUCAAUAUUCAUAAACCAGGCUGUGGUCAGUAGCACAACCUGCUUGACAAACUUUGAGGAAGCUGAAGAGGCCAAUGUUCGACACUUUUUGUUGCAGAGAACUGAUUUAGUCUUUGCUGUUCUUAGCAGGUGUUGACACUAUCAUUUUUAUUAGGAAUUUGAUGAAAACAUAUUGGAUGACCUUUCAUACAUGCUGAUGUAUGGCCUUUUUCCAAGCCUUUUUCCCUUUCUCCCCAAACAGGAUUUGAGGAACUAUAAGCUACCGCCCAAUUUCAGCUUUCUCUUUUAUGGAUCUGUCCCUGAGGCUACAUGACAGUUUUGCUGAAAUUGAGCCAAUGCAUCUCAGAUGAUCACACACAGGGUGGUCUGUCUGCUGCUUUCACUUUCCAAACAUCCGUGACUAUGUGAAAUUGUUUUGUGUUGUGCUAAGAGUACCUUCUGCCCAAAUGCCUGUGGCUUCCCUAUCUCACCUUAUCCUUCAACAGCUGUUUGGGAUUCUCUCCUACUGUCAUUGCCACUUUUACCGUGAGAAAAAUCCCCACAAUUGAAGAUUCUUUCUUCUAAUCCUGCUUGCUGAGUGAUUCAGCUGAAGGGCAUGAGCCUCAUCAUUUUUUUCAUCUUUCUAUUCCUUGUAUCUUGCAAAAACGUGACGUUUGGUACAAAAAGAAGUACAAAAUAAUGCUUGAUAUAUUUCAAUGAAUUCUUGAUUUGGGGUAUAGAGCAGGAGGAAUAAUUUUUUUUCCCAACUUCUUUUCUAUCUCUCAGAAUUUCC
rnacentral:lncRNA from 1 species